rnacentral:rRNA from 1 species
GACAAACGCUGGCGGCGUGUAUUAGGCAUGCAAGUCGCACGGACCUUCGGGUCAGUGGCGGACGGGUGAGUAACACGUGGGUAACCUGCCUCGCAGUGGGGAAUAACCCGUCGAAAGACGGGCUAAUACCGCAUACUACUCCCGGUGAGAUUCCGGGCAGUAAAAGCAGUAAUGCGCUGUGAGAGGGGCCCGCGGCCGAUUAGCUAGUUGGUGGGGUAAUGGCUCACCAAGGCGACGAUCGGUAGCUGGUCUGAGAGGAUGGUCAGCCACACGGGGACUGAGAUACGGCCCCGACUCCUACGGGAGGCAGCAGCUAAGAAUCUUGCGCAAUGGGCGAAAGCCUGACGCAGCAACGCCGCGUGGAGGACGAAGGCCCUCGGGUCGUAAACUCCUUUUGCGAGGGAAGAAGAUCUGACGGUACCUCGCGAAUAAGCCACGGCUAACUACGUGCCAGCAGCCGCGGUAACAC